rnacentral:rRNA from 1 species
CGUGUAGGCGGCUUUGCAAGUCGGGUGUGAAAGCCCUCAGCUUAACUGAGGAAGUGCGCCCGAAACUGCUUAGCUUGAGUGCCGGAGAGGAUGGCGGAAUUCCCCAAGUAGAGGUGAAAUUCGUAGAUAUGGGGAGGAACACCGGUGGCGAAGGCGGCCAUCUGGACGGUAACUGACGCUGAGACGCGAAAGCGUGGGUAGCAAACA